rnacentral:sRNA from 1 species
CAGUCAGCCCCGCCAGCUGGGGUCCCUCUGAACCUGGGGCUCCCUUUCCAAGUGGGGAUUGGUGGCAGUACCGGCCCCCUUGGUUUACUGUCUUCCUCGGAGUAGGGUGUUGGAAGCACCUGCCCUCCCUGAGUUCAGUGUGUCCAGUGUUCCCAGCCAGAUGCUCAUGCCAUGCCUUUGCAGGGAGCGGGAACGCCGAGAGAAGGAGAGAGAAGAGUGGGAACGCCAGUACAGCCGGCAGAGCCGCUCACCCUCCCCCCGAUACAGUCGAGAAUACAGCUCUUCUCGAAGGCGCUCAAGGUCCCGAUCCCGAAGCCCCCAUUACCGACAUUAGGCAGAAGAGUGGGGGGUGGGGAGGACAAGGGGGUGGGUAAGGGGCUCAAGCUGUGAUGCUGCUGGUUUUAUCUCUAGUGAAAUAAAGUCAAAAGUUAUUUAAUUCCCAUCA